UAGAACCUAACUGCAGAUAAUUUAUAGGAGGUUGGGUCAUGGGACCACUUUGGAAUAAUGACCGGCUCAUACGUUGGUUUUCGGUAAACAGUAGUGCAAAGUUCUUUGUCAUGCAGAUCCAAACCUAUGUCCAAAAAAUGUGACUUUGUAGUACUCGUGUUGUUGGUUUAAGACCAGGCUGUAAGCUUCUAUAGUCAUGUUCUCUGCUAGAGUUUUCGGGUCAUAUCCUUACCUCCAUACUGUCACAACAUUGUCAACAUAUCUCAAGUAGAAUUUCAUGCCAUCUCUAAAACUGUCAAAAACUCCUGCUUCUGCUUCUUUUAGCACCAACUCUGCAAGUGGGGCAGCCAUGGGGCUCCUAAUAGCAUCCCUUUUCAUUGCAAAUAAUAAUUCCCCUGAAAAUUCUAUUCAUUCUAAGCCAGUACUAAGUUUUAAACAAAAAUUCUAUUUUCGUUUAAAAUUUGGUGCUGCCUUCUUGUGUUGCAUUUGCUUGCUGUGUGUGUGCCUGAGGGUGGUGCGUGGGCGUCGAGGGUGCUAGCAUUGAAGUUUU
rnacentral:lncRNA from 1 species